rnacentral:rRNA from 1 species
ACACCAGACUCCUACGGGAGGCAGCAGUGAGGAAUAUUGGUCAAUGGUCGGGAGACUGAACCAGCCAAGCCGCGUGAGGGAAGAAGGUACAGCGUCUCGUAAACCUCUUUUGUCAGGGAGCAAAGGCGGGGACUAGUCUCCGGAUGAGGGUACCUGAAGAAAAAGCAUCGGCUAACUCCGUGCCAGCAGCCGCGGUAAUACGGAGGAUGCGAGCGUUAUCCGGAUUUAUUGGGUUUAAAGGGUGCGCAGGCGGCCUGUUAAGUCCGGGGAAAAAGCCGGGGGCACACCCCCGGCGAGCCGUUGAAACUGGCGGGCUGGAGUUGGAGAGAAGUACGCGGAAUGCGCGGUGUAGCGGUGAAAUGCUUAGAUAUCGCGCAGAACCCCGAUUGCGAAGGCAGCGUACCGGCUCCACACUGACGCUGAGGCACGAAAGCGUGGGUAUCGAACAGGAUUAGAUACCCGGGUAUC